rnacentral:rRNA from 1 species
GAUGAACGCUAGCUACAGGCUUAACACAUGCAAGUCGAGGGGAAACGAUAUUGGAAGCUUGCUUCUGAUAGGCGUCGACCGGCGCACGGGUGAGUAACGCGUAUCCAACCUGCCCAUCACUUGGGGAUAACCUUGUGAAAGUAAGACUAAUACCCAAUGACGUCUCUAGAAGACAUCUGAAAGAGAUUAAAGAUUUAUCGGUGAUGGAUGGGGAUGCGUCUGAUUAGCUUGUUGGCGGGGUAACGGCCCACCAAGGCGACGAUCAGUAGGGGUUCUGAGAGGAAGGUCCCCACACUGGGACUGAGACACGGCCCAGACUCCUACGGGAGGCAGCAGUGAGGAAUAUUGGUCAAAUGGGCGAAGCCUGAACCAGCCAUGCCGCGUGAAGGACU